rnacentral:rRNA from 1 species
AUUGAACGCUGGCGGCAGGCCUAACACAUGCAAGUCGAACGAGUGGCGGACGGGUGAGUAAUGUCUGGGAAACUGCCUGACGGAGGGGGAUAACUACUGGAAACGGUAGCUAAAACCGCAUAACAUCAGAUGUGCCCCGAUGGGAUUGGCUUGUUGGUGGGUUAACGGCUCACCAGGGCGGCGAUCCCUAGCUGGUCUGAGAGGAUGACCAGCCACGCUGGAACGGAGACACGGUCCAGACUCCGACGGGAGGAAGCAGUGGGGAAUAUUUCAAGAUGGGCGCAAGCCUGAUGCAGCCAUGCCGCGUGUAUGAAGAAGGCCGUCGGGUUGUAAAGUACUUUCAGCGGGGAGGCGUUACCCGCCGAAGAAGCACCGGCUAACUCCGUGCCAGCAGCCGCGGUAAUAC